GACUGGGAUAACACCUGGAAACAGAUGCUAAUACCGGAUAACAACACUAGACGCAUGUCUAGAGUUUAAAAGAUGGUUCUGCUAUCACUCUUGGAUGGACCUGCGGUGCAUUAGCUAGUUGGUAAGGUAACGGCUUACCAAGGCAAUGAUGCAUAGCCGAGUUGAGAGACUGAUGGCCACAUUGGGACUGAGACACGGGUCCAAACUCCUACGGGAGGCAGCAGGC
rnacentral:rRNA from 1 species